GUGUUGUGUGAAAGGAGAAGUUAGUGCUCUCCUUGAUAAAGAUGGAAGAGGUUCUAGUGACUUUUAUGGUACACUACUAGUAAACUUGUGAAUUGAAUUUAUUCACUCAUUCUGGUAAACAAU
rnacentral:ncRNA from 1 species